rnacentral:rRNA from 1 species
AUUGAACGCUGGCGGCAGGCCUAACACCUGCAAGUCGAGCGAGCGGCGGACGGGGGAGUAAUGUUUGGGAAACUGCCUGAUGGAGGGGGAUCACUACUGGAAACGGUAGCUACUACCGCAUACCAUCAGAUGUGCCCAGAUGGGUUUAGCUGGAAGGUGGGGUAACGGCUCACCUAGGCGACGAUCCCUAGCUGGUCUGAGAGGAUGACCAGCCACACGGGAACUGAGACACGGUCCAGACUCCUACGGGAGGCAGCAGUGGGGAAUAUUGCAAAAUGGGCGCAAGCCUGAUGCAGCCAUGCCGCGUGUGUGAAGAAGGCCUUCGGGUUGUAAAGCACUUUCAGCGGGGAGGCGUUACCCGCAGAAGAAGCACCGGCUAACUCCGUGCCAGCAGCCGCGGUAAUUC